UGAGUACGAGAUGCUACGGCAUCGAAGCAGUCUAUGUCAUACUUCCAAGAAAAGCUUGCACUGUCAGAAACAGAUAAUGCCUGUACCAUAACCGACACAGGUGGGUAGGUAGAGUAUACUAAGGGGCGCGAGAUAACUCUCUCUAAGGAACUCGGCAAAAUGACUCCGUAACUUCGGGAGAAGGAGUGCCUUAUUUUUAAGGUUGCAAUAACAAGAUCCAAGCAACUGUUUACCAAAAACACAGGUCUCCGCUAAGUCGUAAGACGAUGUAUGGGGGCUGACGCCUGCCCAGUGCCAGAAGGUUAAAGAAGUCGGUUAGCAUUUGCGAAGCUGGUAACUGAAGCCCCGGUGAACGGCGGCCGUAACUAUAACGGUCCUAAGGUAGCGAAAUUCCUUGUCGGGUAAGUUCCGACCCGCACGAAAGGCGUGAUGAUUUGAAUACUGUCUCGGAGAGGGGCUCGGUGAAAUAGACUUGUCUGUGAAGAUGCGGACUACCUGCACCUGGACAGAAAGACCCUAUGAAGCUUUACUGUAACUUGAAAUUGAAAUUGGACUUUAUUUGCGCAGUAUAGGUGGGAGGCGUUGAAAAUAUUCUUGCGGGAAUAUUGGAGCCAUCAGUGAGAUACCACUCUUGUAAUGUUAGAUUUCUAACUUUAUAUCAUUAUCUGGUUAAAGAACAGUUUCAGGCGGGCAGUUUGACUGGGGCGGUCGCCUCCCAAAUGGUAACGGAGGCGCACAAAGGUUUCCUCUGAACGGGUAGAAAUCGUAUCUAGAGUGUAAAGGCAUAAGGAAGCUUGACUGUGAGACCUACAAGUCGAGCAGGGACGAAAGUCGGUCUUAGUGAUCUGACGGUGCUGAGUGGAAAGGCCGUCACUCAACGGAUAAAAGUUACUCUAGGAUAACAGGCUGAUCUCCCCCAAGAGUUCACAUCGACGGGGAGGUUUGGCACCUCGAUGUCGGCUCAUCGCAUCCUGGGGCGGUAGUACGUCCCAAGGGUUGGGCUGUUCGCCCAUGAAAGCGGUACGCGAGCUGGGUUCAGAACGUCGUGAGACAGUUCGGUCCAUAUCCGGUGUAGGCGUUAGAAUAUUGAGAGGAGCCUUCUUUAGUACGAGAGGACCGAGAAGGACAUACCUCUGGUGUACCAGUUAUCGUGCCAACGGUAAACGCUGGGUAGCUAUGUAUGGAGUGGAUAACCGCUGAAAGCAUCUAAGUGGGAAGCCCACCUCAAGAUAAGUAUUCUCAUC
rnacentral:rRNA from 1 species